UACAGAGGUCUCAAGCGUUGUUCGGAUUCAUUGGGCGUAAAGGGUGUGUAGGUGGCGCGCUAAGUCGGGUGUGAAAUUUCGGAGCUUAACUCCGAAACUGCAUUCGAUACUGGCGUGCUUGAGGAUUGGAGAGGAGACUGGAAUUUACGGUGUAGCAGUGAAAUGCGUAGAUAUCGUAAGGAAGACCAGUGGCGAAGGCGGGUCUCUGGGCUGACACUGACGCUCAUGCACGAAAGCGUGGGGAGCAAACAGG
rnacentral:rRNA from 1 species